GUUAAAGUGGCGAACGGGUGAGUACACGUGAGUUACCUGCCCUCUCCUUCGGGAUAAGCCUGCUGAAACUGGUGUCUAAUACCGGAUAUUCCUUUUUUGUCGCAUGGCGAAUUUGGGAAAGAUUUAUCGCUAGAGGAUGGACUCGCGGCCUAUCAGCUUGUUGGUGAAUGUAAUGGCUCACCAAGGCGAUGACGGGUAGCCUGGCACUGAGAGGGCGACCGGCCACACUGGGACUGAGACACGGCCCAGACUCCUACGGGAGUGCAGCAGUGGCGGAAUCAUUGCACAAUGGGGGAAACCCUGAUGCAGCGACGCCUGCGUGGAGUGAUGACGGCCUUCGGGUUGAAAACUCCUUUCAGAUAGGGAAGAAGCGAAAGUGACGGUACCUACAGAAGAAGCACCGGCUAAACUACGUGCCAAGCAGCCGCG
rnacentral:rRNA from 1 species